ACGAACGCUGGCGGCAUGCCUAACACAUGCAAGUCGCACGAGACCUUCGGGUCUAGUGGCGCACGGGUGCGUAACGCGUGGGAACCUGCCCUUAGGUUCGGAAUAACUCCCCGAAAGGGGUGCUAAUACCGGAUAAUGUCUUCGGACCAAAGAUUUAUCGCCUUUGGAUGGGCCCGCGUUGGAUUAGCUAGUUGGUAGGGUAAAAGCCUACCAAGGCGACGAUCCAUAGCUGGUCUGAGAGGAUGAUCAGCCACACUGGGACUGAGACACGGCCCAGACUCCUACGGGAGGCAGCAGUGGGGAAUAUUGGACAAUGGGCGAAAGCCUGAUCCAGCAAUGCCGCGUGAGUGAUGAAGGCCUUAGGGUUGUAAAGCUCUUUUACCCGGGAUGAUAAUGACAGUACCGGGAGAAUAAGCACCGGCUAACUCCGUG
rnacentral:rRNA from 1 species